AUUGAACGCUGGCGGCAGGCCUAACACAUGCAAGUCGAACGGUAACAGGAAACAGCUUGCUGUUUCGCUGACGAGUGGCGGACGGGUGAGUAAUGUCUGGGAAACUGCCUGAUGGAGGGGGAUAACUACUGGAAACGGUAGCUAAUACCGCAUAACGUCGCAAGACCAAAGAGGGGGACCUUCGGGCCUCUUGCCAUCGGAUGUGCCCAGAUGGGAUUAGCUAGUAGGUGGGGUAACGGCUCACCUAGGCGACGAUCCCUAGCUGGUCUGAGAGGAUGACCAGCCACACUGGAACUGAGACACGGUCCAGACUCCUACGGGAGGCAGCAGUGGGGAAUAUUGCACAAUGGGCGCAAGCCUGAUGCAGCCAUGCCGCGUGUAUGAAGAAGGCCUUCGGGUUGUAAAGUACUUUCAGCGGGGAGGAAGGGAGUAAAGUUAAUACCUUUACUCAUUGACGUUACCCGCAGAAGAAGCACCGGCUAACUACGUG
rnacentral:rRNA from 1 species